rnacentral:lncRNA from 1 species
AUGUAACGAUGUGCUCUCAGCUCUGGACACCACCUUUCCCCUGGAGACAUUUCUGCUACCAGAAAGGGUGAGGGUUGCAGGUCAGCGCUCCUGGCCCCGGGGCACAGCUUGGCGAAGAGCUAUAUUGUUCAGAAUUCUUUUGUAUUCCUUCAGAACAUUGUUCUUCAAGAUAUAUGGGAUCGGGUUUCAGUUAAAGUACAAGAAAACAUGUAGAGGCUCAGAAGUACUAAACAGAACCCUGGUGACAAAAAUUCUGAAAUAUUUUCAUAGAAGAAAUUUGGGACAAGCUCCUGCUUCUGAGAUAAAUCUCGAGUUCACUCUUCUUUGUCUAAUGCAUUAUGGACUUGGAUUAAUUAGAACAAAUAUGAUUUGCAUUGCCGAUCUCUAAAUACCUAAAAAGUAUACUUUAUAACUACUAUUGAAAUGAUAAUAUUGCUAAUAAACUUAUGCUUAUGUAUCUGUCCUUGUAAAAUCUAGAUUGCUUUGUUAUUUCUGGGGCAGCACACAAAGCUUUUCAAUAUUAUUUCAAGUUACUUUUUAUUUUCAAUCAGCGGUUGCCUGUUUGACAUUUAGAAAAUGCUAGUUAAUGAUAUUUACUUUUAUUCGGUGAAAACAAAGUGGUUUUGACACAGCUGGUCAUUCUGGUGCUUGGGAGAUAAACUAAAUGACUUGUUAC